rnacentral:rRNA from 1 species
CAGUCGCCGCGGUAAUACGGAGGGAGCUAGCGUUGUUCGGAAUUACUGGGCGUAAAGCGCGCGUAGGCGGUUACUCAAGUCAGAGGUGAAAGCCCGGGGCUCAACCCCGGAACUGCCUUUGAAACUAGGUGACUAGAAUCUUGGAGAGGUCAGUGGAAUUCCGAGUGUAGAGGUGAAAUUCGUAGAUAUUCGGAAGAACACCAGUGGCGAAGGCGACUGACUGGACAAGUAUUGACGCUGAGGUGCGAAAGCGUGGGGAGCAAACAGGAUUAGAUACCCCGGUAGUCCCUGUCUCUUAUAA